GAUGAACGCUGGCGGCGUGCUUAACACAUGCAAGUCGAACGAAGCACCUUGAUUUGAUUCUUCGGAUGAAGAUCUUGGUGACUGAGUGGCGGACGGGUGAGUAACGCGUGGGUAACCUGCCUCAUACAGGGGGAUAACAGUUAGAAAUGACUGCUAAUACCGCAUAAGACCACAGUACCGCAUGGUACAGGGGUAAAAACUCCGGUGGUAUGAGAUGGACCCGCGUCUGAUUAGGUAGUUGGUGGGGUAACGGCCUACCAAGCCGACGAUCAGUAGCCGACCUGAGAGGGUGGCCAGCCACACUGGGACUGAGACACGGCCCAGACUCCUACGGGAGGCAGCAGUGGGGGAUCUUGCGCUAAUGCGCGAAAGCGUGACGCAGCGACGCCGCGUGGGGGAUGAAGGCCCUCGGGUUGUAAACCCCUUUCGGCAGGGACGAAGCGAAAGUGACGGUACCUGCAGAAGAAGUCCCGGCUAACUACGUGCCAGCCGCCGCAGUAA
rnacentral:rRNA from 1 species